AGGUGUUUAACUCAGUGGUAGAGAGUUGUGUUUACACCACAAUGGUCGGAAGUUCGAUUCUUUCAACACCUA
rnacentral:tRNA from 1 species